ACCGUAUCUCCAACCCCACCCUCCAAACUCCACUAGUGCAGCUUUUUAGCAGACUAAUAAAAUAAAGUAUCUUCCGGAAAUCCUUGAAGAGAUUCUGGGUCAGGAGGUUGUGGCAUGACAUGGCAUCCAAACGGCUAAGGAGGCUGAAGCAGAAGGACUGGUUAUUUGAGGCCAGCCAGGGCUACAGGAUCUUUGUAACAUUUCGGGUCCUGAUCUCCCCCACACCCUGUGAGCAACUGUCAAACUCUGUUAGAGGCCAUGCUGAAGACCAACUGACCAGGGACAGUUGCAGUCUGAGAUCCUGGAGGUUAAUUCCUCAACAUUAUAGAGGGAUAUAGUCUUUAAUGAUCACAUUGCUAAUUUUAGUAUUUAAGGCUUACUUGGAAAUAGUCAUAUCCCUUCACAUAUUCAUCUGCUAAUCAUCUAUGUAGAUAAAAAGCUAAGAGAAAAAU
rnacentral:lncRNA from 1 species